CCUACGGGGGGCAGCAGUGAGGAAUAUUGCACAAUGGGGGAAACCCUGAUGCAGCGACGCCGCGUGAGUGAAGAAGUAUCUCGGUACGUAAAGCUCUAUCAGCAGGGAAGAAAAUGACGGUACCUGACUAAGAAGCCCCGGCUAACUACGUGCCAGCAGCCGCGGUAAUACGCAGGGGGCAAGCGUUAUCCGGAUUUACUGGGUGUAAAGGGGGCGUAGACGGCAGCACAAGUCUGUAGUGAAAUACCGGGGCUAAACCCCGGACCGGCUUUGGAAACUGUAGGGCUGGAGUGCAGGAGGGGUAAGGGAAAUUCCGAGUGUAGCGGGGAAAGGCGUGG
rnacentral:rRNA from 1 species